UACGUAGGGUGCGAGCGUUAAUCGGAAUUACUGGGCGUAAAGCGUGCGCAGGCGGUUGUGCAAGACCGAUGUGAAAUCCCCGGGCUUAACCUGGGAACUGCAUUGGUGACUGCACGGCUAGAGUGUGUCAGAAGGGGGUAGAAUUCCACGUGUAGCAGUGAAAUGCGUAGAGAUGUGGAGGAAUACCGAUGGCGAAGGCAGCCCCCUGGGAUAACACUGACGCUCAUGCACGAAAGCGUGGGGAGCAAACAGG
rnacentral:rRNA from 1 species